AGGUCAUUGUUGCGUUAACAGUAUGAAGGUCGCGGCGCUGUGCUUCGUGGUCGCCCUGGUCGUCGCAGGUGCCAUUCCGCCGCCAGAAUCCGGAGAAGCGUAUGCGUUUGCCAAGCUGCCAGCCGCGUCCACUGCUGCACCCACGCCCUCUGCGCCCGGGACACCAGAGAUGGCCAAGAUGUACCAGUUUUUGCGUCCCCGUAUUCUUACCAGCUGCCGUUACCUGCAUAAGGAGUCCAAGGGUGACCCGACCAAACUACUAUUGUCAACAAACUAUUUAUGUGGAUCCUGUAAAUCAUACAUAUAUGUAGACCUAUUUUAAAGGGUGUAGGCUUCGCCAGAGUGAGGCUGGUUCUUUCUGUAUUUUGUUUAAUGUUUAAUGCAAAAAUGUAAAAUAUAUGUCAAAACGUGUU